rnacentral:tRNA from 1 species
GUGGGUAUAGCUCAGUGGUAGAGUGUAUGCUUAGCAUGCACAGCAUCCGUGAGGUCCUGGGCUCAAUCCCUAGUAUCUCCA